UACGGGGGGAGCAAGCGUUGUUCGGAUUUACUGGGCGUAAAGGGCGCGUAGGCGGCCACUGCAAGUCGGUUGUGAAAUCUCCGGGCUUAACCCGGAAAGGUCAAUCGAUACUGCAGGGCUAGAGUGCAGAAGGGGCAACUGGAAUUCUCGGUGUAGCGGUGAAAUGCGCAGAUAUCGGGAGGAACACCAAUUGCGAAGGCAGCUCGCUGGGACGUUACUGACGCUGAGACGCGAAAGCGUGGGGAGCAAACAGG
rnacentral:rRNA from 1 species